rnacentral:rRNA from 1 species
GACGAACGCUGGCGGCGUGCCUAAUACAUGCAAGUAGAACGCUGAAGAGAGGAGCUUACUCUUCUUGGAUGAGUUGCGAACGGGUGAGUAACGCGUAGUUAACCUGCCUUGUAGCGGGGGAUAACUGUUGGAAACGAUAGCUAAUACCGCAUAACAAUGGAUGACACAUGUCAUUUAUUUGAAAGGGGCAAUUGCUCCACUACAAGAUGGACCUGCGUUGUAUUAGCUAGUAGGUUAGGUAAUGGCUCACCUAGGCGACGAUACAUAGCCGACCUGAGAGGGUGAUCGGCCACACUGGGACUGAGACACGGACCAGACUCCUACGGGAGGCAGCAGUAGGGAAUCUUCGGCAAUGGGGGCAAACCUUACAGAGCAACGCCGCGUGAGAGAAGAAGGUUUUCGGAUCGUAAAGCUCUGUUGUAAGUCAAGAACGGGUGUGAGAGUGGAAAGUUCACACUGUGACGGUAGCUUAACAGAAAGGGACGGCUAACUACGUG